CACGAAUAUAUGAAUAUGCCCCCCCCCCCAAUUAUCGUUCUGGCUACGCCACUGUUUCAAAAACAAAGCCAAAGGCUACGUCUAUACGCCAAUCUGUUUUCGUAGGAUUUCGUAUUUUUCUCCACGGGAAUAGAGACAAUGGUCGAAUUAGCUGGAACAAUGCGAAAACGGAUUAACCGUAUGGAUGUAGCCAAAGGCAACCCAGAAUUGAAAGGACAUAUGACUAAAAAAUUGACGGUGUUAUUUUUUAGUCUAAUUUGAAUGAAAGAUCCUUGAAAACUGUAGGUUAACUUCUUUGAUAGAUUUUUGUUUUCUUACUUCGUUUUGGAGAUAUUUCAUUUUGUAUGAUAUGCAAAGGACCAACUUCCUACGUUACAUAUGCAUAAUGAUUUAGCCCUAAAAGUUCUAUAUCUUUAAUACGACUAAACACAAUCAGUAGAAAACCUACAUGGGUGUUGUUGUGGACAAAUCUCGUUCUCAUCAUUCAUUUUGAGCGAAAUUAUGUGAUAGUGACAAUAUUAUAUAACAUUUUAAAGUAUUAAGUCAUUACGCAUGUGUGGCGUGAAAGUUGUUCUUUGCAUAUCAUACAAAAUGAAAUAUCUCCAAAACGAAGAAAGAAAACAAAAAUCUGUCAAAGAAGUUACUCUACAGUUUUCAAUGAUCUUUCACAUUAGACUAAGAAAUAACACCGUCAAUUUUCGAGUCAUCAAUGCCCUUUAAGAUUUUUAUGUGUGGGAACCGAACUAGUCAUUAUGGUAAUGUGCGUAUUUUAUGUUAAUUAUAUAUUAUCACAAGAAUAUACUAGUGGGAAAACAGUCUUGUAAAAAUCGACGUUUAAUACUUGAACUUCUCAAUUACAUUGUUUUUGAAAUAUCG